UAUCUGUUUGAAUUUUUACAUUUUUCAGAUAUUUUCAGCGUUGGUAGGUGGUCAUCAGAAAUUCUUUCACCACACCAGCCAUUACAAAAUUUAGCAAAAUGUCUUCCAGAAUUUUGUCUUCACUCUAGAGCUGAAAGCACUCGGAAGAAGUACAGAUUGGUGUAUAUUUGUAUGUAUUAAUGGUUGGCUGACUGUGAUCGAGCCUGUAUGACUGUUUUUAUACCUAAUUAAUAACGACUGAGAUUAAGCCGUAAUGUGCUUAAAAUGAACUUUGAAACGAACUGUUUGAUUUAUAUUAUACAUUGGUUAAUAAAAAGUAUGCUACCCUCACAAGGAGAGCUCAUUUCUGA